GAUGAACGCGAGCUACAGGCUUAACACAUGCAAGUCGAGGGGUAACGAGAGGAAAGCUUGCUUUCCUUGUCGACGACCGGCGCACGGGUGAGUAACGCGUAUCCAACCUGCCCCCAACUAGGGAAUAACCUUGCGAAAGUAAGACUAAUACCCUAUAAUUUCCUCAGAUGUCAUCUGACGAGGAAUAAAGAUUUAUCGGUUGUGGAUGGGGAUGCGUGUGCUUAGCUUGUUGGCGGGGUAACGGCCCACCAAUGCAACGAUCAGUAGGGGUUUUGAGAGGAAGGACCCCAAAAUUGGAACGGGGACACGGUCCAAACUCCUACGGGAGGCAGGAGUGAGGAAUAUUGGUCAAUGGGCGGAAGCCUGAACCAGCCAAGUAGCGUGCAGGAUGACGGCCCUAUGGGUUGUAAACUGCUUUUAUACAGGAAUAAAGUUAACCACGUGUGGUUAUUUGUAGGUACUGUAUGAAUAAGGACCGGCUAAUUCCGUGCCAGCCGCCGCCGUAA
rnacentral:rRNA from 1 species